rnacentral:rRNA from 1 species
UAACGCGUGGGAAUCUGCCCUGGAGUGUGGGAUAACCCGGCGAAAGCCGGGCUAAUACCGCAUACGACCUGAGGGUGAAAGAUUUAUCGCUCUAGGAGGGGCCCGCGUCGGAUUAGCUAGUUGGUGAGGUAACGGCUCACCAAGGCGAUGAUCCGUAGCUGGUCUGAGAGGAUGAUCAGCCACACUGGGACUGAGACACGGCCCAGACUCCUACGGGAGGCAGCAGUGGGGAAUAUUGGACAAUGGGGGCAACCCUGAUCCAGCAAUGCCGCGUGGGUGAUGAAGGCCUUAGGGUUGU